rnacentral:lncRNA from 1 species
GGAAGUUUCCACACUAGGAUGCUGCUAGGAUUCCCUCUACCGACAGAGGUAAGGCAGUUGAUGUUAGAUUUAUUUCUCACAUUAUGUGGACUGACAUAAAUCAUUCUAAUUGUUUUCUAUAUUUUACCGAAUUAAUACGUGACUAUUGUCAAAUAUUAUAGAGCAAUUUUGACAUACCCCGUACAGUAGUAUAUUAUGGACAAGUAUAUCCUUAAUUGUGUUAUUUUCGCCCAUAAUGGGAUGGAUAAUUUUGUACUAACACAUGAGGGGUCCCUGCGCUCAACCACUGUAUUUAAGUAACUUCAGCCCAUUGGAAGUUAACUGUUCAAGAAAUCUGUGGCAUGAGUGCAGUGCAUCUCUCUCUCUCCCGUUUGUCUCCCGUGUGUGUGCACAGUAAGUUGCUGAGAGAAGCCGUGAUCUUGAGCUAAGGAAACGAAAGCGGAAUUCAGAAGCUAGACAAAAGUAGCAGCAACUCUGUUGAAGCUCCAUAACAAGCUGCAAGCUCGGAUUCAUGGGAGAUCGUGGUAAAUUUCGAAAUUUACUAAAAUAUGUGUUUAAUUUGGAAAUGCACGAUUAAGGGCAUAAAGUGUGUUUUUGUUUCAUCAAUUGGUAUCAGAGCCGAUGGUUAUGCAUUUCCUUGUAAACCAUAGUUGAUUUGUUGGAGAAAUCUCACUCAUGGAACUUUUCUUUAUUUUCGGAUUUUUCGAAUUUUUCGAAUUUGGACAUAUUUCCUCAAACGGUUGUUAAAUAAUGCAUGAGUGAUGAUUUUGGAGCAAAAAUAUAAUUUUUUCGUGAUUUUUGGUGGCCAAAAUCGGGAUGAUAUGAAUGAGGUCUGUAAAGUUACUGUAGCUUUACUAUUCAAACAUCCCGAGGUUGAAGAUGAUGGGAUAAUUUCGUAUGGAUCCCUAAACUUUGUGAAAUGUUACUCUGGCCCAAAAUAUUUGUAACAUUUUCCAAAUGGUCCUUGACCGAGGGUCAACUUUGUAAAAGAUCAGUUUGGUCCCUUAAAUUUUAGUAAAUUAUAUUAUGGCCCAACAUGUUAUUUUAUUUACAAUUUGGGCCAAAAGUUUUACUAUUUAAAACAGUAAGCAUAAUUCUGAAAAUUCUGUAGUUUAGUCCAAAAUCCUUUAAAUUUUGGCGUUUUUUUCAGAAUUUGAAAUUUAAGAAUAAUCCAUCAUUGUUGAAUUGUAUGGGCAUAAUAUUCAUAUAUUUUAUUGAGGCAUGUAGAUAUUUUAUUUGAUUGAAUAUCUUGGUGGAAACUUUAAUUACGUUUUGACAAAGUUUAUUUAGCCUCAAUUUUGUUAAUGUAUGAAAUAUAUAUAUGAUGCAAAACUACAAUUUAGAGUGAUUGUGUAUCUGCUUAUCGUAGGACCAAUCAUGAUAAAUUAUUUGGUGGUUUGCAAUUGAUUGUCCAUUUACAAUUAUGAAUUAUGGAUUAUGUGAUGGAUUGUUAUUGUUCUGACCAAGAUCCAUACGGGUGAUGAUACUGCCCUGUCGGCGAAUCACUACUUGGUAGGAUACUUGAGAAGAUAAAGAGGUUUGUUGAGUAUUUUCUACUGAGUGGCUUAAUUACCCUGUCGGUAAUAGGUCAAUGUUGGUGUUAUAUUCAACUUGUCUGCUUUAUCUUUAGGUUAGUGCACUCCUAUAUUGUUAAAGGAUGCCUAACAUAUUGUGUUGCUAUUGGAGAAACUUAGAAUGAGGAGUAAUUGAUUAUAGCAUGAUUUUAGUUUUGCAUGCUUGAUAAUUCUUUUGUUAUUGCUUCCUCAG